GAGGUGCGCGCGCUGCGCUCGCCGGCUCGGCCCUCUCUUCCGAGCAGCCAAUCGCGGCUGAGGCGCCGGGCGCGCGCACGUUCCUUGGAAUUUAACGGUCGCGUGAGGCCAAAUCUCCGGGUACCCGAUCUAAGGCGGAGGCGAGGAGGUCAGACUCUUUGGAACUAUAGCCAAUUUCACAGUUUUGAAUGUCAGCCAUUGAGGAUGCCGGUAGAAGAUGAAGCAGCUGAAGAGGACUCCGAAGCAGUCUCCUCCCGAAGGAGAAGCAACAGUAUUCCUAAAUGACAGAGCUUAACCAUUUUUGUACGCUAUGGAGGAUUUUGACUUGGUGGAAAAUUUACAAAAAACGUCACCUUCUGUAGAAUCUGAUAUUAAAAGCGCUCCCCAAUCCCUUGGGUUGAGCUUGCAUGCUAAUAGAAGUAGUCCCCACCUUAGUACAAAUGGGGUGUCCUCUUUCUCAGGGAAGACCGGGCCACCUGUCAUUCAAGGGACAGUGGAAGUCCUCACUGCUUUAAGACAAGACCUACAGAACAGUGGCCGGACUGACUCAGAACUUUGGAAGAGUUGCGAGGCCAGGUGGUUGCAGCUCUUCAGUGUGGUUGAGCAGCACUGCCAGGAGCAGAUUGUCGCCCAGCAGGAGCAGUUCCAUAGGCAGAUCCGGCGAAUACAGGAGGAGAUCCGGAAGUUAGUGAAACUGCAGCUCAGCCAUGCUUCCCGGCCUUCGUGCAGCAGCAGCUCUGUGAGUGAGCAGGUGUCUGCAGAAACCCAAAUGGGCUUCUUUUCUGAGAACAGUGAGAGAAAUGAGUCUGUUGUCAGUUCCCCAGCGUCCAAGGAACCCGAGACACAGCCAGCAUCAUCCACAUCCUACCCAGACUGCCAUGUGGACAGCAGCUCAGUGAGCAGUGGCUACGGCACCUUCUGCAUCCUGGACAUGAACACCCACAAGGCUAAGGAGCCCACCGAGCCCUUGGAGCCGGGGGCAGCUUCCCAGGGGCAGCACCCAGCCUCUGUGGUGCAGGCACAUGGCCCUGCAGGGGGUGCAGCAGCCAUAAACUUCUUCACACAGACCCCUGAAGAGCUUUGUGCCUCUCUAAAGGAAGACGGCUCCACUUUUCCUGGGGAAUUUGACCGAAAUUUUCUUGGUGAAAACAAGAUCUCUGAAGUGUACAGUGGGAAAGCAAAUAGUGGUAAGUCUGUAACAUCCUGGGCACAGAGGCUGAAGCAGAACCAGUCAAAGCAGGCACAUACAGAGGAUGACUGCUCAGGACCUAAGCCAGGGAGCGAGCUGAACUGGAAGCCUCCAGCUGACACAUUUGACCUUGCUGCCGAUGCUGCACGUCCUUGUGCCUUUUACAUCAAUAAGCCAGCCGAAAGCCCAAGUUCUUGGUUGUCUGAUUCAGGAACAGGGCUGACUUACUGGAAACUGGAGGAGAAGGACAUGUAUCACUCUUUGCCUGAAACUUUGGAGAAGACGUUUGCACCAUCCCCAGCAGAGAGGCCCCUGAGCCAGGUCCUGACUCUUGAUCCAGGAGCCAUACGCAUGAAGCCAAAGGAGCAUGUCGCAGGGAUCCAAGCCCAUGGCUUUCUGCAUGCUCUUGACGACAGAAUAUCCUUUUCCCCAGACUCCGUUCUGGAACCAAGCCUGUCUCGUCACUCUGACACUGACUCGUCUUCACAAGCAAGUCAUAAUCCUUCCCAGGUGUCUGGGUUCUCCAAGUAUCCUUCAACCACGAGAGCAUCACCUGUGGACACUUGGAAAAACCAUGCAUUCCAAAGGGAAAGUAGGACCAGCUCCACCAUCCCUUCACGCUACACCAUCACUAGCAACGAUAUCUCAGUCAAAACUGUAGACGAAGAGAACACUGUCACAGUGGCCUCAGUCAGUCAGUCCCAGCUUCCAGGUACAGCCAACAGUGUCCCAGAAUGCAUUUCAUUGGCUUCCCUGGAAGAUCCUGUGAUGUUGUCUAAGAUCAGGCAGAACCUCAAGGAGAAGCAUGCCCGACACGUGGCCGACCUUCGUGCUUAUUAUGAGUCGGAGAUAAGUAGUCUGAAACAGAAACUGGAGGCCAAAGACAUUUCUGCCGUUGAAGAGUGGAAGAAGAAAAAUGAAAUUCUUGCGGACAGGUGUGGCCAGCUGGAUAGUGCAUUGAAUGAAGCUACUAGUCGAGUGCGCACACUUGAGAAGAACAACAACUUGCUAGAAAUAGAAGUGAGUGACUUGAGAGAACGCUUCAAUGCAGCCAGCAGUGCCUCCAAAGUUUUGCAGGAACGAAUUGAAGAAAUGAGGACAAGCAAUAAGGAGAAAGAUAACACCAUCACUCGGCUAAAGUGUCGCCUGCAGGAUCUGGAGGAAGCCUUCGAGAAUGCUUACAAGCUCUCAGAUGAUAAGGAAGCGAGGCUGAGACAAGAAAACAAGAUGUUUCAGGAUCUCUUAGGAGAGUACGAAUCCCUCGGCAAAGAACACGGGCGAGUAAAGGAUACAUUAAACACAACUGAGAACAAAUUGCUUGAUGCACACACUCAGAUUUCUGACUUGAAAAGGACAAUCUCAAAGCUUGAGGCUCAGGUGAAGCAGGCAGAGCACGAGAGUAUGCUGAGUCUUCGCAAUGGCGCUAAAGUUCCCGAGAGGCCGUCCCGGUCCAACUCCGUAGCCACCUCGGAUGUCAGCAGGAGGAAGUGGCUGAUUCCAGGAGCGGAGUACUCCAUCUUUACUGGGCAGCCUCUGGACCCCAGGGACAGGAAGCUAGAUAAGCAGCUGGAGGAAGCCCUUGUUCCUGGAUACCAUUCUCCUCCAGAAAAGGACUCUUCACUUGGAAGUUCACCAGCGAGCCUCCUGGUUAAAAAGAAGAGGGACACUCCGGACACACCACCGAUCAUCAAGGCUUUAAAGGAACUUGAUGAAGAAAGAGUAUUUAAAAGUUGGGGGACACAGACAGAGAAAGAGGAUUCUUCAAGUAAAUUAGUGAAUUCUCGGCAAACUGAGCCUUCAGUCAAUACAGGCCGUUCCCCAGAGAAAUGUGCCCAGCAGAGACCGAAGAGACAGACUUCGGCUUCACAAAGGUCGUCGUCUCUCCCACCGUCCAGUCGGAAAGCCAACACUCCAACAAAAAGAGAGAUUAUGCUAACGCCAGUGACCGUGGCUUAUAGUCCUAAGCGGUCUCCUAAAGAAAAUCUGUCCCCUGGAUUUAGUCAUCUCCUUAGCAAAAAUGAAAGCAGUCCAGUUCGAUACCGUUCCUGUGUCCACGUUACAACAAACCACUGCAAAGAAGCAGCUCCAGUUUCUGCUAGAUGACUCAGAAGAAAAAAAGUAUUCAGAAAAAAACAGUGAUGACCCUGUUAAUCCUAGCUCUUGUCCUGAACACUCACCAAAUGGACUGAAGAAAGUGUCCACGAGACAAGCCUGGGAGAAGAGUAAGUCAGUCAGCCUGGAGCAGUGUCAGCCGGGAUCAGCAGCACCACAGGACAACGGUUUUGAGUAUACAGCGAAGAUUAGGACCCUAGCUGAAACGGAGCGAUUUUUUGAUGAACUUACAAAAGAAAAAGACCAGAUUGAGGCAGCACUAAGCCGAAUGCCUUCUCCUGGAGGAAGAAUCACUUUACAAACAAGACUCAAUCAGGAGGCCUUGGAAGAUCGUUUGGAAAAGAUCAACCGUGAACUGGGCUCAGUUCGAAUGACCCUCAAGAAGUUUCAUGUUUUGCGCAGCUCUGCAAAUCUUUGAGACUGGUAGCCAUUAAACUUGAGACAUUUUUGUUUGCACUAAUGUAACAAUUAUGCACUGGGAAAAGGCCAGCUCUUUUCUACUGUUUAUAAGCCUUCAGACGGUAGUUUUACAGUCAUGCUAUUCUUACACCUGCUAUUUUAUACUUAAAAUGGCCACAUAUUUUCAAGAUAUUUUUGUUAUGCUCAGGAACCUCUUGUAUAUUUUACUAUUUAAAAAGCAUUAUUUUUAAAUAGCAUAUGUCUCCAAUUUCUAUCAACAAGAAGGAAAUGUACCUGGGGAGGCAGCUUGUUUGUAAAGAAAUAGUGUUACCCUUUUACAAUGAACUUUGCACACUGGGUUUAUAAACUUGUUCUACACUGUAAACAUAAUUCAUUUUUAAAAUAAAUGCUUAGCAGCUUCCAUAAGGAUAGACUGACAUGCUAGAUAUUUAGAAUAUUAUAGUAUAGUUCGCAUUGAGGUUCUGUAGUAGUUUUUAAGAAAUGAUAACACAAUUCCUAUGUGAAACACAUGCCUUGAAUAGUAGAAUAAUUGGGCCAGCAAGAAGGUUCAGCAGGUAAAAGUGCUUGCCGCUAAGCCUGAAGACCUGUUUAAGGUCCAGGACCCACGCGUUAGAAAGAGAGAAACGACUCCCUCAAGUUGUCUUCUGAGCUCUACAUACACACUGGCACGUUCACAUCCCUUCCCACCCCAGUAAGUCAAUGGUUAAAAAAAAAAAGUAGUUCUUGAGUGCUGGAGACUUUAAAAACUACGCAAAUAUAACUUAUUUCUCUACAGUAAUUUUGUUUGUGAGGAAAGAAAAUGAUUAGAGCUGGAAGUGGCAGGUGGAUAGCUGGGUUUUCUGCCCGUGCGUCAUUCAUGCUUUACAUUGUGACCCAUCUUGGGCUGUUCCCAGGGUGGCUCCAGUUUCCAUUAAGCAUAAAGCUUUAGCUCCCAAAGUCAUCGUCGGAACAGUUUCACCCUCUUAACCUUACCUGACCCACCCACCCCCACCCUUGCCAAAGAGAAAAGCACUUCCACGGUAAGAGCCAUUGGUCUGCGCUCAGAGCACUCUACCCUGCCUGGUAAUGGACAGAGGAUGUGUGUUCCCCAGGGCCCUGCGGCAGACUUUAACCCGUCACCUGGGUGCCAUUCCCUAAUUCUCUGUAAGAGCGCUGUGUGGGCAGGAGAAGCUGUUCCCAGCUAGGAGCAGCAAGUAUCCUGUCUGUGUUGCGACUAUUGGUGAUGUCUGGGCUGCUCACCCACUCACUUUCUGGUGACCAGUGCGAACCCAGCACCCACAUAUUUGUGCUCUGAGUCUGCAGACAGAGUCGUCUGAGCUCUCACAGUUGAUUUACAGGGCCAGGGCUCAGGCUUUUGAUUUUGGUUUGCCCCUGAGUUCUUUCUCCACGAUGAGAAACUACUUAGAGUGACCCAAGGCAUUCAGGCAGCUCCAUUACAGCGUAUGUGUCUCAGCAGGUUCAGGUUGUCUCCGAGCAUUUUCUCGCCAAAGCUUCACCUAUGCCCUGUUCAACUUGGGACUCUCAGGCAGGAAGGGACCCUUGGGAUAAUCCCUAACCCCUGAGCUCCUCUUCAGUAACUAGGGAAGGCUGGCUUAAUCAGGAUUUCCUAUCAUUAGAAGCAAGUGCCUUUAUUCUUGAUUUUUCUUUCAGCCUUUUAAAAAUUAUGUUACAGUAAAAAAAAAAAGGUUCUUUUUAAGCAAGAUCUUGUAUAGUUGUGAUGAGUACUUACAAAGGAAUAGUCUAUUUUUUAAUAUGUCCUUCCAUGUGAUAUGCAGAAUUGACAAGCUGAGAGUGUUGUCCACGUGGUGGUAGCGUGCUUGCCUCGUGUGUGAGGGCACGUGCGCUGGCACCAACAAACGUGACUGCCCGAACAAGCUGACAGUGCUCCCGUGUGUCUCAUCGUUCCCUCCUCCCAUUGUAUAGUCAACUGCAUCCUGAAGAAGAAGAAAUUGCCACUAGCUUUAUCUUGCCAAGGAGUUAUCUUCUUGGGUGCCUAUAAUUGGCUAAUUCCAAAAAAGGUGUUAAACGCCAUCAGAACAUCUGCGCUCCUUAGAAAGCGUAAGCUUUGGUUUUUGAAGUGUGUAAUAGAUGUAAACUAUCAAUUACUUAUUUGAAAAAGAAAUUUCAUUCUUUUCUUCCUCACAGCUAUAAAGAAAGACACCAAGGGAAGUUCUUGCAGCUGCCUCUGCCCUGAGUAAUGCGUAUCUUAUGAACACUCAGCUAAAAAGCAGCUCAGCCUAAAAGUGGGCAGGGUAGCAGUCUUAAAGAGCAUCUGUUACCCAAGAGAGGCAAACUGUUUCUAUGCUGGGAUGUACUGCAGCUAGUAUUAAAAAAAAAACAAAAAACAAACCAAUCUCAGUGAGCCUGCAGCUUCUGAGAAGUGCCUUUUAACAUGUACAUAGAAAAUAAACUCUCCAGCUGUGGAGCUGUGCCCCUCUCUUCUCACAAAGCCACUCUGCGGGAGCUUUGAGGGAUGGCUCCAGGAGUCGCAUUAGCUAGAGCUAAAGCACUGCUGAUAGAGACCAGAGAAGGGAGAUUUGGAGCCAGACAAUCCCGGGCCACACCCUGGCUCAGGCCUGCUUUCCUCAGUGUAGAGACCAAAGGAUAGGAGAAUCCUUUCAGUGCAGAUCGGCCAGUGUGAAGUGAGUGUGCACCGAACAGCACGAUUCAGAUUAGCCAGUUCCUGCGAUGUUGAAAUAGUGAUUUUUAAAAAUGAUUUAUUUAUUUUUAUGUGCAUUGGUGGUGUGAGCUGACAUGUGAGUGCUGGGAAUUGAACCUAGGCCCUCUGGAAGAGCAGUCAGUGCUCUCAACCACUAAACUAUCUUUCUGGCCUCAUGAUUUUUUUUUUUUUAAGGCAUACUAGGGUCUUGCACACGCUAGGCAACUCUGCCACUGAGCUAUGUUCCCAACCCAGUGAUUUCUUUUUAAGGUUGAUGAUUUUGUACAGUCACUACAUUGGGUUGUCAUUUGUGUUAGGUGGUCUAUGUUAUCUUUGCUCUUUGAUAAAAUCAAGGGUUUUCUUGGAUUUUAAAUGAAAUCCUUGGUAUGUUAUUUAUUUAUUAGCUGACUGAAAAUUAUAAAAAGUUAACCCAUCAAAUGUAAAUUCAGAAAGCAUUUUGAUUUAAAUGGAUGAAUGGGAUUUAUUGAGUAUAAAUAUUGACUUCUUUCCACUAUGGUUUAAUGUUGGCUUGACUACAGUACCGUUUCCUUCAAAAGUUCCAUGAUUAGACCUCUAAAAGCUGUCGACCACCUGCAAGAGGGGCCUGCCAUCGAGUGCCAGACAUAAAUAUGGACUUAAAACAAGACUAGUGUUACCCUUUUAACCUAGGGAAGCCAGGUGCUUUGCCAAAUUCUGCUUGUCUUUUGAACCCUGCACCCAAAUAUGUAGUAAAUCCAAAUUCUCAUCAUCUGAAAUUUCUCAUAUCCUAAGAAAAGUGUUCACUAAUUUUAAAUGUGCAACUCUGUGCUGCGAGUCUCUAAGAACCUUAAAAAAGUAACUGACAGGCGGGGACCCUCGGAAGUUACAUUCAUCAGUGGGUCACGCACACUUUUGUAUGUUGCCAGUCUGAUUAAAGCCCUGGUGGUGCACAGAUUUUGCCAGAAAUGAUUUCCUGUUCUGCCAAGAGCAAUAUGGACUUUUCAUCCCGUGUUAGGUUAGUGCAGGGCUCUUAGGACCUUGCUAGCUUUUUUCUUCCAUCUGGUUUGCCCGUUGUUUCACAAGAGCCCUCAGCUACGCGAAGAGUCAAGCCAUAACCACGCAUCUGCUGAUCAUUGCCUGCCUUGCCUUCACUGUGACUACAGAGUUCAAAGAUAAUCCUGUCUUACUUCCAUUGUACACUUGAACUGUGACAGUGACCCACAAUGUGACAAUCAGUUACUGCUUCCUACAGUGCUGCUGCUGGUCAGACAAGUGCUUGUUGUGUGUUUUGUUUUGUUUUUUAAAUCUGGUCAGAUCCUGGAUGGAGUACUGAAGUUGUGAGCUCCGUGAGAGCAGGGACCAUAUUCUAGCACCUUCCAUCGUGCUUUUUGCACUCAAUAAAUAUUUGUGGACAUGAA